UCGGCAAGCCGGCUCCGUAACCUCGGGAAAAGGAGUGGCUCUGACGGCGCGCCGGGUCAGAACUGGAACGGACGCGGGGAUCCCGACUGUUUACUAGAAACACAGCGUCGCGAGGGCCGCACCCGGCGCUGGCGCGACGUGAUUUCUGCCCAGUGCCACGACCGUCACCGUGAAGCGAUCCGCCGAAGCCCUGGUAAACGGCGGGAGUAACUAUGACUCUCUUAAGGUAGCCAAAUGCCUCGUCGGGCAAUUUCCGACGUGCAUGAAUGGACCAACGAGGAUCCCACUGCCCGAGCCGCGCCUCCGCGAGCCUCCAGCCUCGGGAACGGGCGAGGGCCGGCCAGCGGGGCAAGAAGACCCUUUUGAGCUUGACUCCAGCCCGGGCCUGUGGGGCGGGGCGGCCGGCGCAGCGCACAGGGGAGGCCGCGCCCUGAGACACCCUGACGGCCGCCGCCGCCCCGCUCACCCGGUCGCGCGGGGACCCGCCCGGGCGGGGAGUUCGGCUGGGGCGGCGCGCCUGCUACACCGGACCGCAGGCGUCCCACGGCGGGCUCAGCGAGGACGGAGACCUCCCGCGGAGCAGAAGGGCACAAGCCCGCCCGACCCGCGCCCCCCGUGCCGGCGCGGGCCGCGAAAGCGGGGCCUACCGAUCCUUCGCCGCCCCGGCCGCGGGCGCGGAGGUGGCAGAAAAGUUACCACAGGGAUAACUGGCUUGUGGCCGCCGAGCGCCCGCAGCGACGCGGCUUUUUGAUCCUUCGAUGUCGGCUCUUCCUACCGUCCGCGCGCACCGGCGCGGAAGCGUCGGAUUGUUCACCCGUUCAAGGGAUCGUGAGCUGGGUUUAGACCGUCGUGAGACAGGUUAGUUUUACCCUACUGGCCCCGGGGCCAGAGCACGGCGGGCCAGUACGAGAGGAACGCCCGCCGCGGGCCGCCAGCCCCGCGGUUGCCCGGCCGGGCAGCGCCGCGCCGCCGCGCCCGGGGCCCUGCGCUGACCGCCUCUAAGCGCGCACCCCGCCUCGCGCCCCGCCCGGCCGCGCGCCCCAGCCCCGUGCCCCGUCGCCGAGCGGCCCCCGCCCGGGGAGACCACCCGGCGCGGCGCUCCUGUACGGCGCAGAGCCCUGCGAUCGCCUGAGG